rnacentral:rRNA from 1 species
CCGGCGAUGUCCGAAUGGGGAAACCCAGUGCAAUUCGUUGCACUAUCGUUAACUGAAUACAUAGGUUAACGAGGCGAACCGGGGGAACUGAAACAUCUAAGUACCCCGAGGAAAAGAAAUCAACCGAGAUUCCCCCAGUAGCGGCGAGCGAACGGGGAGCAGCCCAGAGUCUGAAUCAGCUUGUGUGUUAGUGGAACGGUCUGGAAAGUCCGACGGUACAGGGUGAUAGUCCCGUACACCAAAAUGCACAGGCUGUGAACUCGAAGAGUAGGGCGGGACACGUGGUAUCCUGUCUGAAUAUGGGGGGACCAUCCUCCAAGGCUAAAUACUCCUGACUGACCGAUAGUGAACCAGUACCGUGAGGGAAAGGCGAAAAGAACCCCGGCGAGGGGAGUGAAAAAGAACCUGAAACCGUGUACGUACAAGCAGUGGGAGCACCUUCGGGUGUGACUGCGUACCUUUUGUAUAAUGGGUCAGCGACUUAUAUUCUGUAGCAAGGUUAACCGUAUAGGGGAGCCGCAGGGAAACCGAGUCUUAACUGGGCGUUAAGUUGCAGGGUAUAGACCCGAAACCCGGUGAUCUAGCCAUGGGCAGGUUGAAGGUUGGGUAACACUAACUGGAGGACCGAACCGACUAAUGUUGAAAAAUUAGCGGAUGACUUGUGGCUGGGGGUGAAAGGCCAAUCAAACCGGGAGAUAGCUGGUUCUCCCCGAAAGCUAUUUAGGUAGCGCCUCGUGAACUCAUCUUCGGGGGUAGAGCACUGUUUCGGCUAGGGGGUCAUCCCGACUUACCAACCCGAUGCAAACUACGAAUACCGAAGAAUGUUAUCACGGGAGACACACGGCGGGUGCUAACGUCCGUCGUGAAGAGGGAAACAACCCAGACCGCCAGCUAAGGUCCCAAAGUCAUGGUUAAGUGGGAAACGAUGUGGGAAGGCACAGACAGCCAGGAUGUUGGCUUAGAAGCAGCCAUCAUUUAAAGAAAGCGUAAUAGCUCACUGGUCGAGUCGGCCUGCGCGGAAGAUGUAACGGGGCUAAACCAUGCACCGAAGCUGCGGCAGCGACACUAUGUGUUGUUGGGUAGGGGAGCGUUCUGUAAGCCUGCGAAGGUGUGCUGUGAGGCAUGCUGGAGGUAUCAGAAGUGCGAAUGCUGACAUAAGUAACGAUAAAGCGGGUGAAAAGCCCGCUCGCCGGAAGACCAAGGGUUCCUGUCCAACGUUAAUCGGGGCAGGGUGAGUCGACCCCUAAGGCGAGGCCGAAAGGCGUAGUCGAUGGGAAACAGGUUAAUAUUCCUGUACUUGGUGUUACUGCGAAGGGGGGACGGAGAAGGCUAUGUUAGCCGGGCGACGGUUGUCCCGGUUUAAGCAUGUAGGCUGAUUGUCCAGGCAAAUCCGGAUAAUCAAGGCUGAGGUGUGAUGACGAGGCACUACGGUGCUGAAGUAACAAAUGCCCUGCUUCCAGGAAAAGCCUCUAAGCAUCAGGUAACAUCAAAUCGUACCCCAAACCGACACAGGUGGUCAGGUAGAGAAUACCAAGGCGCUUGAGAGAACUCGGGUGAAGGAACUAGGCAAAAUGGUGCCGUAACUUCGGGAGAAGGCACGCUGGUGUGUAGGUGAAGUCCCUGCGGAUGGAGCUGAGACCAGUCGAAGAUACCAGCUGGCUGCAACUGUUUAUUAAAAACACAGCACUGUGCAAACACGAAAGUGGACGUAUACGGUGUGACGCCUGCCCGGUGCCGGAAGGUUAAUUGAUGGGGUUAUCCGUAAGGAGAAGCUCUUGAUCGAAGCCCCGGUAAACGGCGGCCGUAACUAUAACGGUCCUAAGGUAGCGAAAUUCCUUGUCGGGUAAGUUCCGACCUGCACGAAUGGCGUAAUGAUGGCCAGGCUGUCUCCACCCGAGACUCAGUGAAAUUGAACUCGCUGUGAAGAUGCAGUGUACCCGCGGCAAGACGGAAAGACCCCGUGAACCUUUACUAUAGCUUGACACUGAACAUUGAGCCUUGAUGUGUAGGAUAGGUGGGAGGCUUUGAAGCGUGGACGCCAGUCUGCGUGGAGCCAACCUUGAAAUACCACCCUUUAAUGUUUGAUGUUCUAACGUUGGCCCCUGACCGGGGUUGCGGACAGUGUCUGGUGGGUAGUUUGACUGGGGCGGUCUCCUCCCAAAGCGUAACGGAGGAGCACGAAGGUUAGCUAAUCCUGGUCGGACAUCAGGAGGUUAGUGCAAUGGCAUAAGCUAGCUUGACUGCGAGCGUGACGGCGCGAGCAGGUGCGAAAGCAGGUCAUAGUGAUCCGGUGGUUCUGAAUGGAAGGGCCAUCGCUCAACGGAUAAAAGGUACUCCGGGGAUAACAGGCUGAUACCGCCCAAGAGUUCAUAUCGACGGCGGUGUUUGGCACCUCGAUGUCGGCUCAUCACAUCCUGGGGCUGAAGUAGGUCCCAAGGGUAUGGCUGUUCGCCAUUUAAAGUGGUACGCGAGCUGGGUUUAGAACGUCGUGAGACAGUUCGGUCCCUAUCUGCCGUGGGCGCUGGAGAAUUGAGGGGGGCUGCUCCUAGUACGAGAGGACCGGAGUGGACGCAUCACUGGUGUUCGGGUUGUCAUGCCAAUGGCACUGCCCGGUAGCUAAAUGCGGAAGAGAUAAGUGCUGAAAGCAUCUAAGCACGAAACUUGCCCCGAGAUGAGUUCUCCCUGAGACUUUAAGUCUCCUGAAGGAACGUUGAAGACGACGACGUUGAUAGGCCGGGUGUGUAAGCGCAGCGAUGCGUUGAGCUAACCGGUACUAAUGAACCGUGAGGCUUAACCUU